GAGAGAGCGGGCGGACAGGCCCCGCCUCCACUUCCCGCGAGAACGCCGGGAGGGGGCGGAGCCUGCCACCGGCCAAUGGGGUGCGCGGAAGCGGGCCUGUGGGCGGAGGAGGCGCUGCCUAUUGGCUGUGCGGCGCCCCGCCCCUUGGCAGCGCGCACGUGGCGGCGGCGAGGGGCGGCGCGGGGCGGGGCGGGCAGAAUCGCCGUUGCCGCAGCCCGGCGCGGUUGCGAAGCGAGCGUUGGUUUGACUGGAUUUUUUAAAUUAAAAUAACCCGUGAGGGUUUUUUAAAUUAAAAUUACCUGUACGUUUUUUAGUAAUGCCGUCGAAAAUCUUUUAUUCUGCGGCGGGGCGCUCAUGUUGCCCCUGAGGAACCAGCCCCUCAUGCCCGUGCCUGGCUGUGGCGCCGCGGGCUCUCCCGCCCUCCGGUCCAGCACCCCUCGGGGAGUGAAUUCUCUCAGGAAGACCUGACCCAGGAAGGUGUUCACUAGAGGCUCGGACUCAGCGCUGCCACUCAACCUUCGCCGCUUCGCCCUGCGGUUGCAAAGCACGCUCCUUCGGUCUCGUCUUCUCCAGUGCCGACACAGGAGAACCCCGGCACCGGGUGCGUGAGGUCUGGGAAACAAGUGGGAGCGGGGUGCGGGCGUGAGGUGGCGCGUUAUUGGGGUGCGCUUCGGUACGCCAGAACGUGGGUCGAAAGUGCAGAGCUGGAUGCCGACCUUUGGUUGUGUUGCACGAGCUGGUGAAGGUCGUGUGCCGCAGGGACCUUUCAAAGGUUGGGACUGUGGUGGCUUUGCAAAGAGGGAAUAGUCUUAAAGGAAUGAUUCUUUCAGCAUUGUUUCCAUGGCGAUAAACACGCAUACACACCCCGCUCCUUUGUCUAAGUUAUUCGUUAGUCUUAUUUGUCACACACAGUGAAAACAAAAUCACAGGGUAAAAUGCAAAGAGAUUUUUAAGACAAUGAAAGGUUAUUGCCUUCUGCUGCUCCUCUUUGUGCGCAGAGGGAGCCUGCACCAGAGCCAGCCCUGCCGAGAAAUUUCCAUUGCAAAUGAGUUCAAAAUCCCACCAAUGCUUUUACGCACUUUGGCGGAUGUAAGAGGUCAAGCAGAACACAUCUUUCCGCUUUCAUGUAGGAAGUUCUUGAAGUGCUGCGCAGGAGGUAUGGUUAGAUGGGGGAAAAAAAUAAAAUUGACAGUUUCCUGCAUUAAAACGUAAUAGUAAAAAUAAGGAGUCCAGGUAAAACUUCAAGGCCCCUUUCUGCCUGCCCCACGCUGGUGUGACGUGACGGAACUUCGGCUCUCCUGCCUUGUUUAAGUGCUGUUAGGAGUCUGUCCAAAAGCAAAUAGCGUCCUCAAACUGUAUUGUAAAGAAAUAUCGCAGAUGCUCCUGUUCCAGCAUGGGAGAAACGAUUUCAGUGGAGGCCCCGUCUACCAUAAUGCAUUUAAAUGGAGUUUAAAAGAUGCAGUCCACACACUGGCAUAAAAAAAAAUUUACAUUGCAAUUAUUAUCUUGUUCCAGAUUAGCUGCUGUACCCUGUCUGCGAAAUCCUUUCUCUCCGCCAGCCCGAUAUCGAGCUCAGUUAUUCUCCUUUCAGCCUCCUCCUGCACUGGGCCCUAAGCUGAUGAUUCAUGUAUUAAUAUGUGGUUAUUAGAUGACUCCUCUACCUCCACUGCUGCUAUCUGUCUCUGGCAAUGGAGGGAGGAAAUGAAUUCUUAAAACCUCAGGAACAAAUAGUCCAUGCACGGAGAUCAAUCCUGCUCCCGCUGACGUCAAUGGAAACAUUUCCAUCGCCUUCAAUAGGGGCAGAAUUAGUCCUAUAUAUCAGAUAUUAGCUUGAUUUAUAACCUCGCAAAACUCCAUGUAGCUGAAGGGGGAAAGCUGUAUCUGUUAAAAAUAACUCGUGGCAAUUAAAUGACUGUCAAAUGUGUUUCUCUCUUUUCGGGGAAAAACCAGCUUUUGGGGCUGUUGGCUGUGAAGAUCAGGCUGCCCGUGACCUGGGGGGCAUCCCAGCCCCACGCAGCUGCUGCCCACACCAAGACCCCCAGCUCUUCUGACGAGCCCAUAAGGAGUUACUGCUCUUUAAUUAACUCCUCGGUCUCAUCCAUCUCCCCUCUCGAAAGCCAGGCAGGAGGGCAGCAGGCAGAAGCGCGGCCACUGGUGGCUGCGGCAGAGCCUCUCGCUCCCCGCUGCUGGGGGACAGCCCCAGAGCCUUCUCUCUGCAGGGAAUCGCCCGCUUCCAAAACAGUUGUAACUGCCUGAAAAUAAGAAUUUAAUUCCAAAUUUACCACUGUGGCCACACACGGCACAUGGAAGCAGCAGGCAGAAAGGAAAGCCCCAAAUAUCCUCUCCUCACCACGGUACUAGGAACAAACGCUGCCUGGGCUCGCCGCCCCCCGUCCCGCUGGGGAUGGGGGUGGAAACCCGGCGGAGGGAGCACGAAAAAGCACCGUGCCCCUUCCCCUGCCCCUCUGGCACCCCCUGCUCCUCAGUCCCCAGCUCCACCAGUAUGGGACCAGUCAUGCUGGGGACAGCAGGGGCAGGUCAUGUCCCCUCCCUCUGCUAAGUUUCACACCCAAACUCCUGGCUCUGGAGCAUCUCGCUCCGCUGCCCCGCCAAGGCAGAGGGAACAAGAAGACCCAGAAAUCACCACCGGUCCUUCGUUUCCCUAAUUAGAAGCCACCAGCUAAUGAGAUAUCAUCCAAGCAAAAUAUUAGGAGCCGCGUAAUAAUUAUAUCAAUGAAAUCAACAACAAUUUAACAGCAAAGGUUAAUUACAUUUAUUUAAAAAUCUGAUAGAGAGAAUGAUGCUCAAACAGUUGGGCAGACUAAUUGAAAGCUAAUGUUGCUCCUAAAUUGAAUUUCAAAUGAAUUUUACAUCCAUAGUUCAUUUUGCUAAUUUCAUUCCCUGUAUCCUGUAAUUUGUUGGCAGUGAUUGAUUACUUAAGUGAAUAAUAUCUAUGUACCAGGACCCCUUAGUAAUAGAAUAUGCCAAGUGUGAUCAUACAGUUAAUAAAUACAGUUUCUUUAAGGUUUCCCUCUCUGUCUGGAUUUUGGAGGAGCAGGGACGCGGUGCCGGGGAGCUUUCGGCCGCUGUAAGCUCCCGUUUGAGUUUCUUCUUAACAACAGGUUGCAAAACCCUCCCUGCGCCGACGGCCGCCGCCCCUCGCAGCCCUGCGGCGGCAUCGAUACACGGCAGCGCUUCGUCACCUCGCAAAUCCUCAUUUUCGUUUGUCAACGGGUUAAAAUGUAUAUACUGAGGGUUUGCCGGGAUAUUCCGCACGCCGCGUUCUGCGCAAGAGACGCCGCAGCCCAGGUGCCCUCAGCCAGCCCUCACCGACCCGAAACGCAGCGCCAAGCCCCGGUCCGGCACCACGGACCCCUGACACCCCGACACCCAGACCUGACGUCCCGAGGCUCAACCAUCACUCAAAACCCCAUCGACUGGAGCGGCGGCGUGGGGCAAACACGGCAGAGCCCCAGCGAGCGCUGCUGCCUCUUCUCGGCAUCUUUGAAGCAUCCGCUGCUGCAAAACGAAUGUAAUUAUAUCUUAAUAAAAUUUUAAUACAGGGAAUUAUGCACAUUGCAUCCAACCAACAAUUAGCUGUUGCUAUGCUACAGCCGGAGUGUAAUCACAAUAACGAAGCCAGCUGAGGGAAGGCAUUAAUCAGGAGGUAUAUCAUUAGCCGACCUCAGCCCCUGCCUCUCCACCUCCUGAUUUGGAGCCUCCUGAUGCUUUAACAUGAAAAACAACCCCAAAACGAAGCAGACCCCGGGCUUGGAGGGAGUGGCCCCGCUUCAGGCACCCUCUCCUGUCCCAGCUGUGCCUUGGUUUGGCCGAGGAGCCGAAGCUGCCUGGGCCGUGCUGCUCCAGCACCGCGCCUGCUCCGCGGCCAAAACCCCAUAAGCAGCAGCAAUUCCCCCCCCACCUCCCCAACUUUCACAUCUUUUAAUCAUUUAUUCCUUGGAUCCAAAGGAAACACAAUGAAACGAAGAUGCGGGGGGAAAAUGGCAGCUGACGGAGCUUCUGCGGAUGGAAGGGGAAGAAAUUCAUUAAUUUUUCAUCGCCGUGGCUGGGACGUGAGCAGCUCAGUAUUCAUCAUGUCAGCAGUGACCUUGAUGCUGCCUCCAUCCCCCGUUGGAGAGCGUUUUCUCACCAUCUGCUGAGCAUCAGCCUGCCCUCCUGCCCACCAGCGAUGGAAAACAACCCUGGGGUGGGAGCGAGCGCGGGCAGGCGGCUACCACUGCAGGCAGGAGCGGGCAGCUGAAAGCCUGCAAGAUGCUCCAGGGCAACAAAACUUCCUCCUGCAACGUGCCGGGGAGGGGGCGUGCACACCACAAGCCCCAAAACACAAGGAGCAACCAAAUUCCUCCCAAUAAACCAUAUGCACGACUGCAAAAGGCCGGUGGUGUGCGUGCUGGCGGGCAGCUUGCCAGUCGCAGAGCGGACACGCUCCCGUGUCUCGGUGUCCCCGAACACCGACGCUUUCCUCUGGAGGGAAAACAAAAAUCAAAGCCCACCCGGCUUGCGAGGCCCUCCCGCCCUCGGAAAGCACGGCUGCAUGCUUCCCAUCAGGGUGGCAUCCCUGUUUCUGGGGUGUUUUGCAUGAUUUCUCCCCCAAAAACCUUCUGCUCUGGGCACCCCUGGUGCCACGAUGCUCAAGAAGACCUAAAUUUGCUAUAUUUUCUUUGGAGGAGCUGCAAGCAUCGGAGCGCUUCGGCACCCUGCAAUUCGGCGGGGAUGCGGAAUGAAAUGAUUAUCAGCAGACGCAUAAUGAUUCAUUCUGUUUAUAAUUGCUUCGGAACGUGGGGAGAGCGGGGAGCUGUAAUUAACUCUUCUUUAUGACUGAGAUAAGAGUCUUUUCCUCAGCCACGUGACGCUGCCAUAGACACCCACAGUCCUUUUUUCCUGGUGCCUUUGGCAAUGUGAAAGUGCAGAUGGAUGCACAUGGACAGAGUAAAUCCAGGAGCGUAGCUGAAAGAUAUCCCUAAAACACUGUAACUCUGUGCGCAGGGAGCGGGUUUAUUUCCUUGCAAGCCCCAGGAGGCUGCAGCUGUCCUGACCUUCCCCUGGAUGUGGUGAGCGGGAUCUUGCAUCAUCCCCCCAUUGAAACACCCCCGUUAAUUACGGCGCGUGGGCUGGCGUUGCGGCGAUGCCGGGAAAGGGGCGCCCUGGUCCGUGCCCCAGCGGAUCACCCCGCGGGUUUGAGGUCACAUCCAGGCUCCGUUUCACAGCACGGAUCUCUUGCAAAGACCCUGAGCGGGUUUGAUUUCCUUGGUCGAAGCUUGGAAGGGCCGCGGGGCCGCCAUGGGGAGCGCAGAGCCGAGGAGACUCGUUGCAGAGCAAGCUGAAGCCAGAGGAUACGCUGUCGGAGGGACGCGGUGGGGUGAAGAGGAAAGGGGAGCCCCUCUCCCACGCCGACACCGCCGGAGGAGCUCGGCUCAGCGGGCUGCCUUACGUUUCCACCCUGCCGCUAACCCAGGAGCCCGCGUUAGCCAGGGUUAAGAAAAAUUGACACUUGACUUUGGGAUCUUCACCUCGUGCUGCGUGUUCGUGGGGCGCUGAGAGCUCUCCGCUGCCUCUCCAUUCAUCAUGCGUCAGCCCAGGAUGUAUCCCAGAGGGGGUCGUUACCCAACCCAUCCAUCUUGCUGUCUGAAGUACAUCCAGCCACAGAGUUUGUCAUGGCCCUGUGUCAAACGAUUUCUCCUCUCUAGCUCCAGAUUUCAUCAUAUCGCUGGAGCCGGUUGCGCAGCCCAGCUUCCUCACGUGGCACAGAGGGUCCCGGCUGUGGCGGUGUGCUCCCCCUCACCCGAUCUUUGCCCCCGGCUCUGCUCGAGUGAUAAGCACCAGUGAUAGUCGUGAUAAGAUGCACCUGGUUGCGACGGCUGCAUCCGGCUCAAAGCGGAGUCCCAGGAAACAGAUAUCCACGCAAUAGCCGAGAGCGAAUUUAUGGAUGCAGGUCCCUGUCCACCUACCCAGAGCGCUAAUUAGCAUCCGACUCAGGCCACGCUUGGCAGAAACUAACACCUGCAGCCGGUACGUAGGCCUGACUGUGAGCCAACCAUCUUACCCCAUAAAUAGUGAGCUGCCCAAGAGCCCCUUGAGCUCUCCUGCACGGCAGCGGGUGCAGGGUGGGAUCUCCCCUUGGGCAGGGAUGCCUCCCGAGGUUUCUCCUCGAGGCUGAGAGAUUCCUUGCUGCCACAGAUGCUCGGUAAGUGGCUAAUAGCAUGCUGAACUUUGAAAUCUUGGCUAAACGCUAUAAAGAAUUGCUUGUGUACACAAAACCCUUUAGACUGAACAAGUCUGGGAGUAGGACUGGAGCCAGCCACCCCCAGACUCCUCCCUGAGGAGGAGUUUAGAAAGGAAGGGGCCCUUUCUGACCCUCAUGACCCAACGGCAGGGUCUCCCUGACAGUUUGUCUGACCCUGACCUCUGGGCGGUAAAUAAUCAAGCGAGCCUUGCCAUCAAACCGCGUUCAACCGCUGUCGCGUUUACUAACAAGUUUUGUUAGCUCGUUGUAAUAUAUUAAUAAAAUAUGUCCUUUUGCUUCUCCCUCCUA